GUUUAAAUCAGUUAACCUAAGUACCGUCAACAAAAGUAGUUGUAUAACGGCAGAAGUAAGAGGAGAAGAAAAGAACCUGCACUGACGGAAAAGUGACUCUCAGGGUGCAGAGGGCAGAUGCUGUUGAUGCUGGUGUCCUUGCUCUGCUGUGUCCCUGCAGCCGAGGCCUGUCUGCAGUGUGACCGCAGUAUCAGGGUUUUACUCGAGGACUUUAUCCUGUCUGGUCCCACUGUGAACGACCAGAUUGAAUUGAAAAAAAUUAGUAACAAUGCCUAUGUGACCUACAGAGAGACCAGCCAGGAGCGAAAAGGAGUCAUUGAUCCCACCACUCUGUACAGAGUCAGAACUGAGUACCAGAGUGAAUUUGACCACUUUUUGAAAACCCCACACACUGGAUCUGUAACAUAUGAAGCCAUUCAGAUCCUGGAGAAAGGCAGGAAGAUCUUAGAAAAACACUUGGACAUAUUCAUCCGUGAUGGAUUGUGCUCCAACAAGUGUGGGCUUUUGAAACGAAGAGUAAUGGAUUGCUUCUCUUGCCGCUACAAGAUAUACAUCUGUCCCUCUCCCUCAGGCCAGCAGGACUGCGGCGAGUACCCAGUGCAGGCUGAGGAGGGAGGCCAGGCAGUGUUGAACUGUUUCCUUCCGUGGCAUCGCCUUCUGUUGGGAAGACCGGAGUAUCACUACUCCUGGGCCCCCGGUGUGCCAGGAACCAAAAACUCGCCACUUUGCCUGACCACACUCUCCGCCCUGUCCUCACGCUGCCCUCCCUGCUUCAUGGACACAACUACUCACCUUUCCAACCUCCUGCGGGCCUGCUGGUGCCUCUCAUCGCCAUGGUUACUGCUCUGAGUCUGGCAGCGAGCGUAGGCCUCACAGUUGUCCUGGGAAUGCUGAUGAGUCAGAGGAGAGCCAAGGAGGAGCCAAGGAGAAUGAAGACGGAGGGGAAAAACACACAAAACACGGUGUGAUGAAGAUACCGUAUAACAGUAAAUACACACCUAGAAGACAGGGAGGUUUUACUCACUUCAGGUUGGACUUUUUUCUCAGUGGCUAAAUAAAUUUCCCAACACAAAGUUUCAAGUCAUGUCUAGAAAACUCCACAGAAGUGAGAAAACAUGUUGGCAACAUUGAAGCUACAUGAAGCAUAAAGGGUGUCCACAUGUUGUUGCCUAUCUUAGACAAUAAAAAGAGCUCAAACAUGGACAACUAUGGUGAAUCAAACACUGAGAUCUCACUCAUAAAACAGAAAGUUGGUGGUGUAGUGAAACUAGAGCGAACAACACACACACACUUAAACACACCCACUUAAACACACCCACUAAAAAUCUCCCAGAAACAGCUCAACUUUCCGUAACAUUAAGCACAAGCUCGCCAGAACACAUCAGUGGCCUGACCCCAGCAGGGUCACGUUCACCCUGAAUAGAGUGAUGGCGUUGUCACGUAAGAGGAAUCAGGGAUGAGGUAAAUCUCCUGGAUUACAGUGGGGUUUUUCAGAGAUUAAUAGCCCCAGCCAUUUAACUAAUCCUGGAUAAUCCCCAUGUGGGAGGCAGGGGGAGACAUGGAGGGGUAAAACAGAUGUUUUCAUCAGGGUUUCUUUUGAUGUAUAUUAACCUAAAUAUUCAUUCAGAGAGAGAGAGAGAGAGAUAGAGUAAGGGCAACUUUUUGCAUUACCAAUAAUGUUCUCAUUCUGAAAUCCCCGUUUUCUUGCGACUUUAAUUCUCUGUUUCCGUCUGCCUACAGUAUUCUCUCUGUACAUUUUGAUGACAAACUAUUUACACAAGUUCUGUCAUGAUCUCCAUCCCCGCCUCCUCCUCGUCAGCUCCUCUACACGUCCGGCACGUGUCGUAUUUCUGUUCACUGUUGUCUUUUUUCAUCUUUCAUGCCUUGUGCUAUUGCCAUCACCAAGCUUCUUGGGAAAGGAAGUAAUAUGUCAUCAUCAACAACAACAAAUUCACACCCAUCUCUCAGCAUUGUGUCUGGGCAGAUGUAUUCUUGGCUGAUUCUUUGCCAACCAUGACGCUCUGAUGUGCUAACAUAGGAAAGAUAAUGAAACAUCUGAACCAAAUAAAACUGAAAACUAGUGAUUGAUUGAUGUAUGAGUCAUCCAGGAUGACAGAAACUAAGUCACCUCUGAAAUCAUUCAUCGUUGCUCAUCGUUUGUCAGGGUAAUUUCUAAUAAAGAUUUUGAGUCAGGGGUAUUCUGUUUGGGUUAUGACAACUGCAACAAGGCUGUGGAGUGUUACCGUAUGAGGGUGGGUGUGGAUGGUGACAGGAUGUAUGUGCGGUGCUGUUUCCUGUCGGGGUGCUGAGAUGGGGGCGAAUGUUGAAAAAAUAACCCGUUCUUUAAGACUCCCUCACACAGAGACACUCGCGUCACACUCCUCCAACUCAACAGACCUCAUCACUUCACUGUGGGUUUUAUAUGUGUGCGUUCAAGCCUAAAGUGCAGGUUGAGGCUACAGUAAAUGCAUGCUCAGCGGCUUUGCUGACAGCCGUGAUGAACUGUGUACCAAAGUCUGUGUGGAUUGAAAUUGCAGCCUCUGCAGAAGGAGAGCAUGACAAAGUGGGAGUGCUGCUGAGGGGCAGGCAGACAGCGGUGAGGGAGGGAAAGGAGGAAGUGGCGACAUGAAGAAAGUGGAGACAGAGGUUUGAGUGGGAGACAUAUGUGGUAAGGCAGAGUCAUUUUAACAUGGGUUAUGAGGAAGUGAAGACAAAGACGUCAGAUUACACUUUGAUACAAACUAACCCACGCUGCACACAAAGUAUAUUUUUCUGUGGGUUAUAGGACAAUGUGUCCUGUAUCCAGGGGUGGAAAAGACAUCAAUAUCCUCCUCAAUUAGAAAUACUAGACUUAAAUAUUACUCAUGUAGGAUUGGGACAAGUUGUAUUGAAAACUACUUAAGUAAAAGCACAAAAAGACUAUUCUUCAGAUGUACUUUAAGCCCCUAAAACUUUAAAUCUGAGGUGUUUCUAUAAUUAAAUAUUCACAACUAAUAAGCAACAAUCAAAGUAGAAGUUCUUUUUCUAAGCAUCCUUAGUUCUUUCUUAUUAAGAGUUUUAAUGUCAAUAAAAUGAAU
ensembl:lncRNA izumo sperm-egg fusion 1